GCGACCCCCGCCCGGUCCCCGUGGCCGCGGCCGCAGCCCCGACCGCGACCCGGGGCGGCAGUGGGCGGCGGGUGGGUCGUGGGGAUCGCAGGCAGGGUCGACCCGCAGGCGCUGGGCGGGGACAGGACUGCCGUCCGUGCGGGCGCCACGGCUGAGCUAGCGCGCGGGCUGGAAGUUUGUGCCCCGUCGUGGCCGAGGUCGGCGCGUGCUGAGGUAAGGAGCAGAAGCGACGGGGUGGGCGACCUGGUGGUGGGCGAGGCGGGACCCCCGCCACACGCCUCGGGAAGGGGCGCAGGGGGCUUUGUGCGCGCACCCGGCGCGCGUCCAGGAGCUCGGUCGCGAGCGGUGCGCGGGGGUCCCCGCGGCUUGGGCUUCGCCGCCCCACCGGCUGGGGCGGGUUUUCGUGUUCGAGUUACACGGGGGUGUUGCGGCGCGCGCGAGAACCCGGGAGGCAGAGGGACUUGGGCUCAAGUCCGCCGAGCGCUUUGGUGGAGGGCGAGUGAGGCUGGGGAUGCUGGGGAUGCGGUGCUCGGGCCGCCUGACGGGCUGCGGCCGGGCGAGUCGCUUUCCGCCGUACGGCUUCGCGGCUGCACGGUUUCGCACCCCCUGGAUCGGGGCUUCGGGGCCGGAGGUGCAUUUGGUCCCCGGAGGGACCUGGCGCUCUCGAGAUGUGCGGGGAGACCGCCGCCAAGGAGUGGAGCGGGCUCGCUUCCCGCGGCGCCGGUGCCCGGCUUACCGCAGGCCGAGCCGGAUUCCCGGGGCUUUGGCGGGAAGCGCGCGCACCUCCUCGCCCUUUCCUUGCUUUGUACCUGGAUGCGGCGGCUCAGAGUUGGGAUUGAACUUUCCUGCGCCCGCGGCGGCCCGGGGAUCGCCGGCAGGGGGCGCUGCGAGCGAGCGCUGGAAGCGGCGGAGAGGCUGCUGAGCGGUGCCGAGUCCUGGAGUCCCGGAGUCCUGGGUGGGUGGGGGGUGGGUCCCGGACCCGGACCCGGACCCCGCGGAUCCGGCCGUGAUUUCAGAAGGGUGGGGGUGGGGCAGCGGAUCCGUGAACCAGGGGCAGCUCUCAGCGUUGCCAAGGGAAGGACACGAGAGGUGGUUGCCGAACACAAGGUUUCUUCCAGAGACCAACGUAUCCCUGCAAACUCCUCCUGUCUGUGCAGCUGUCUUCCUCCUUGA
rnacentral:lncRNA from 1 species